GAUGAACGCUGGCGGCGUGCCUAAUACAUGCAAGUCGAGCGAACAGACGAGGAGCUUGCUCCUCUGACGUUAGCGGCGGACGGGUGAGUAACACGUGGAUAACCUACCUAUAAGACUGGGAUAACUUCGGGAAACCGGAGCUAAUACCGGAUAAUAUAUUGAACCGCAUGGUUCAAUAGUGAAAGACGGUUUUGCUGUCACUUAUAGAUGGAUCCGCGCCGCAUUAGCUAGUUGGUAAGGUAACGGCUUACCAAGGCAACGAUGCGUAGCCGACCUGAGAGGGUGAUCGGCCGCACUAGAACUGAGACACGGUUCAGACGCCUACGGGAAGCAGCAGUAGGGAAUCUUCCGCAAUGGGCGAAAGCCUGACGGAGCAACGCCGCGUGAGUGAUAAAGGUCUUCGGAUCGCAAAACUCUGUUAUUAGGGAAGAACAAAUGUGUAAGUAACUAUGCACGUCUUGACGGUACCUAAUCAGAAAGCCACGGCUAACUACGUG
rnacentral:rRNA from 1 species